CAUGCAAGUCGAACGGAAAGUGCCCAGCUUGCUGGGUGACUCGAGUGGCGAACGGGUGAGUAACACGUGGGUGUUCUGCCCUGCACUUUGGGAUAAGCCUGGGAAACUGGGUCUAAUACCGAAUACACCCUGCUGGUCGCAUGGCCUGGUGGGGGAAAGCUUUUGCGGUGUGGGAUGGGCCCGCGGCCUAUCAGCCUGUUGGUGGGGUGAUGGCCUACCAAGGCGACGACGGGUAGCCGGCCUGAGAGGGUGUCCGGCCACACUGGGACUGAGAUACGGCCCAGACUCCUACGGGAGGCAGCAGUGGGGAAUAUUGCACAAUGGGCGCAAGCCUGAUGCAGCGACGCCGCGUGAGGGAUGACGGCCUUCGGGUUGUAAACCUCUUUCAAUAGGGACGAAGCGCAAGUGACGGUACCUAGAGAAGAAGCACCGGCCAACUACGUGCCAGCAGCCGCGGUAAUACGUAGGGUGCGAGCGUUGUCCGGAAUUACUGGGCGUAAAGAGCUCGUAGGUGGUUUGUCGCGUUGUUCGUGAAAACUCACA
rnacentral:rRNA from 1 species